rnacentral:pre_miRNA from 1 species
GGAGUGGAUUGCAGCCAAGGAUGACUUGCCGACAUUUCCAUCUCUUUGUAGAAACACCGCUCGUUGUUCUUGAUCGGCAAGUUGUCUUUGGCUACAUUUUGCUCCCU